GACGAACGCUGGCGGCGUGCUUAACACAUGCAAGUCGAACGCUGAAGCUUGGUGCUUGCACUGGGUGGAUGAGUGGCGAACGGGUGAGUAAUACGUGAGUAACCUGCCCUUGACUCUGGGAUAAGCCUGGGAAACUGGGCCUAAUACUGGAUAUGACAUGCCACUGCAUGGUGGUGUGUGGAAAGGGUUUUACUGGUUUUGGAUGGGCUCACGGCCUAUCAGCUUGUUGGUGGGGUAAUGGCCUACCAAGGCGACGACGGGUAGCCGGCCUGAGAGGGUGACCGGCCACACUGGGACUGAGACACGGCCCAGACUCCUACGGGAGGCAGCAGUGGGGAAUAUUGCACAAUGGGCGGAAGCCUGAUGCAGCGACGCCGCGUGAGGGAUGACGGCCUUCGGGUUGUAAACCUCUUUCAGCACGGAAGAAGCGAGAGUGACGGUACGUGCAGAAGAAGCGCCGGCUAACUACGUG
rnacentral:rRNA from 1 species